rnacentral:tRNA from 1 species
UAGGUGAUAGUAUAUUUGGUAGUACGCUAGGUUUUGGACCUUGUCGUGCGGGCUCGUGACCCGUUUGCCUAG